CCCCACUCCAUUCUACCCCAACUGCUGCUUCUUCGUCCUUCUCAAUCCUUCCACCAUCAUCUCCAUCCAACAGAAAGCUCUGGUGACCAUGGGGAGAUCACAGAAGCAUGGUGGGAUUCCUGCACCUCAGAGGUGGACUACCCAGGUUGGAACCAGCUGAUGUGCAACUCAGGAUGAGCCUGCCCUUCUGGCCUUGGCCUGCGGGCACUGACCUUCCAAGCCCGAGCCCAUACCCACUGUGUUGCUUCUCACUGCUCAGCAGGAUCGCUUAGUAGAAACAUCACACAAUGUGCUUCUUGGUUUCCUGGUUUGUAAUAUUUGGAUUCUUUUCAUUUGUUGGAUUUUAAAGAAAGCUUUUAUGAAUAUUUUUGUACAAAUGACUCAUAGAUAUAUUCUCUUCCUUCUCUUAGAGUGUAUUACUGAAGCUCCAGGGUGCACAGAGGAAAUCUAUGGUUUUCACAGUAGAAAUGUUUUACUCUGAGAUCUUAAAUAUGUGAAUUCUGACUGCACCAAAUACUGCACACUUAGGCUACCCAGUCUUUAACUAUGGCCAUUGUAGUGGGGAUGAAUAUGAAGUAAGUUAUUUUUUUUAAAGUCUCUCUGAUGACUAAACAUGUCCAGUUUUCCUAAAGUG
rnacentral:lncRNA from 1 species